UGGGGAAUAUUGGGCAAUGGGGGCAACCCUGACCCAGCGACGCCGCGUGAGGGAAGAAGGCCUUAGGGUCGUAAACCUCUGUUGUGUGGGAAGAAGGAAGUGACGGUACCACACGAGGAAGUCCCGGCUAACUACGUGCCAGCAGCCGCGGUAAUACGUAGGGGACGAGCGUUGUCCGGAAUUACUGGGCGUAAAGGGCCCGUAGGCGGUCACUUAAGUCAGCUGUGAAAUGGUCCGGCUCAACCGGAUCAUGCGGUUGAAACUGG
rnacentral:rRNA from 1 species